GCCGGGCGCGGUGGCGCGCGCCUGUAGUCCCAGCUACUCGGGAGGCUGAGGCAGGAGGAUCGCUUGAGCCCAGGAGUUCUGGGCUGUAUAGUGCGCUAUGCCGAUCGGGUGUCCGCGCUAAGUUCGGCAUCAAUAUGGUGACCUCCCGGGAGCGGGGGUCCACCAGGUUGCCUAAGGAGGGGUGAACCGGCCCAGGUCGGAAACGGAGCAGGUCAAACCCAUAGAAUGUAUAACACAAAGAGUGACCCUAAUGCAAACUACUGACUUUAGUUAAUAAUAAUAUUUCAAUAAUGUCUCCU
rnacentral:SRP_RNA from 1 species